UAGUGAAAUAGGUUUAGUUUUGAACUGUUGCUCAGGUAAUAUUUUGGAUUGCUUUGAUUAUUGGCUUUUUGGUUUAUGCAGGGUUUAAUAGUUAGAGCCUGUUUGAAUGUUGUUUUGUUUUUUGGAAUGCUGCAGGUUAGGGAAUUGGUUCAGGGUAGCUAUGAAUUGAAACAGAGUUAGUUACAUUUUUUUCUGUUAUGUAGAUAUGCUGAGUUCUGAACCGACUUCUUUCUUCGAACUGCUGCAGGGUCCUUCUUAUAUGCAGCAUUGGAAUUGACUGAUACAAGGCUAUGGUAUGAAGAUAUCACAUCCGAACCGCGAGGCUUUGCAGAUCGUGUUGGCGUUGUGGGUAUUCAUUUAUGAUUUUAUAUGUGUGUUUCCGCAGGUUUGGUCCGUGUGGUGUGGAUGGCUGGUAUUAAGCUUCGGUUCAGAUGCUUGGAGUUUAGGAAGAGAAACAAGCCCAUGGUUAAACUAGGAUGCCAUUCUUUUCUGGUUGUUGUGUAAAUUAUUUUUGGUGAUGUAAUGUAAAGUUUUUUUUUUAGAACAGAUUAUGGCUUUGACUCAUGUAGUAGAAUAGGACUUUUUGGAUAUGGUUAGAGAUGUAUAUGGAUAUGAUGUUUGGCAUUGGUGUAUUAAAGGCAUGGCAGGGUAGAGGUUUAGGAAGAGUCUUGAAGAAGUCUUUGUAGGAGUCAGAGGUCAAAGUCUAGGGCCAAAAUCUGGUCAAACUCAGUCAAUGGUCAACAUUCGACAAAAGUCAAUGGUUGACUAAAAAGUCAACCGUGACUAAAAGUUAACCAUAAACUUUUUGUUGUAAUUUUCAUGUGUAAUGUAAUGGAUAUUGAUAUUGAAUGGAACUUGUAAUCAAUAUUGAUCUUGAA